CAGCAGCAGUGUGUGCUGUGGGGUCACUUUGGGGUGCUGUGGGGGGCAACGGGGCACUGUGGGAGGUUGGAUGGGGCAGUAGCAUUGGGCUCUGUGGGGGUUAACAAACAGGAAACCAAACACCUGACCAGGGGACCAAUCAGGAGACAAGAUACUUUCAAAUCUUGGUGGAGGGAAGCCUUUGUUUGUGUUUUUUGGGUUUGGCUUUGAUCUCUCUGGGCUCUGAGAGUGACCACACGUACCUACAGGCUCUCUAAUCUUCUAUUCCAAUUUUGAUUUCUCCUUCCCAAGCCUGACCCAAUCACCCGGCUGGAAUGAGAGGAAGAGCCGUGGGUGCCCAAUCUCCAGGCCAGUGAGGAAAGAGGGAUCCCGAGAGGCGCCCACACAGCACAAUGACUUCUGUCUGGAUUGUCUCUCUCCCAGCAGUUGAUGAGAGAGUGAGUGAGAACGAGGAGGGGAAUCAACAGCAGGAAGUUCCUGGGCACGGGGAAUAGCAGGGAACCUCUGUGGGAAGACCCCAUAAGUGCUUCGACUGUGGAAAAAGUUUCA